AACGAACGCUGGCGGCGUGCCUAACACAUGCAAGUCGAGGGAGAAGCCGCAAGGCGAGUAAACCGGCGAACGGGUGCGUAACACGUGGAUAAUCUACCUCCAUGUCCGGGACAACUGGCCGAAAGGCUUGCUAAUACCGGAUAAGCCCACGCCGUCUUUGGACGGAGAGGGAAAAGGUGGCCUCUGCAUGCAAGCUAUCGCAGGGAGAUGAGUCCGCGGCCCAUCAGCUAGUUGGCGGGGUAAAAGCCCACCAAGGCGACGACGGGUAGCUGGUCUGAGAGGAUGAUCAGCCACACUGGAACUGAGACACGGUCCAGACUCCUACGGGAGGCAGCAGUGGGGAAUCUUGCGCAAUGGGCGAAAGCCUGACGCAGCAACGCCGCGUGUGUGAUGAAGGUCUUCGGAUCGUAAAGCACUGUCGCGAGGGAAGAUACGCCAUCGGAUAACACCCGGGGGCUAAGACGGUACCUCGAGAGGAAGCACCGGCUAACUCUGUGCCA
rnacentral:rRNA from 1 species